rnacentral:rRNA from 1 species
CAAACCAACCACCCGCACGUACGACCGAGGUCUCUUGCCCUCGAGCGAGAAACAGUCGCCCAACUCUGUGCCCUCGUUCGCCGCCGCCGCCCUUCGUCCCCUCACCACCACCGCUAGAUCCCUUCGCCACCGCUCGGUGCCGCCAGGCCCCGACCUCCUCCCCGGCUCCCGGCGCCGCCCGCCCCCCAUCUGCUCCCCCGAUCCCAGCUAAGCCCGGCCCCACCUUCUCUCUCACUCUUGGCGGCGAUCCCCGUGGUGUCCCCGGACCGGAGGCCGUCGAGGAUGUAGAGCGCCGGGAGCGCGGCGCCGACGAGGAACCCCCCAUGAUGUGCGCGGCAAGGAGGAGGCGCUCGGGGCCGAGGAAGACGGGCGCGGACGGGUUGGGCUUCCUGGGCGCUGCGGGAAGGUGAGCCUGGCUAGGAGGAGUAGGUAGGGAAAGGACGGCGACUCGCCGGCAGGUCACCGGCGCCGGGAGGCGGUGAGGUCGUCUCUCUCGCUCGCCUCUCCCCUUCUCCCCAUCUCGCAUCUCCUUCUUGCACUGUCGGUGCUGCCGUCCAGUACGUGCCGCGGCGAUCCCCAUGAUGCGCUGGCCAUCUGAACCAGAUCGACGCCAACGAGAAGUCUCUAAUGUCCCGUGCGGCGGCCACGGGUCCAUCUUAAGUCGGCGGCGAGCUAUGGUGAGGUACACAUGGCGCUGAUGGAUGCACUGUACAGGGGCGCCGCCGCCACUGAGCUGGCCACCGGCUUUUGCCUGCCGUGCUGCCGCGACGGGCACUCCCUCCUCGGCUUUGUCAGGGUCCUCCUGCCCUGCGUUUAUGUGCUGCUCCUCGUCAUCAUCUCCGUGGGCAAUGCCCUUGAACCCCAUUCUCCAACCAUCUGGCAGCAUGCUGGACGUCGUCCUCCUCGACGCGGCCGUCCCCGACGAGCUCUCUUUGUCGGAGAAGGUGGGGCAGCAAGGCAUCCUAUCCUCCAGCGCGUGGACCGACGGCUGAGUCCUCCUGCUCUCCUAGCGUGGUCUGAACACCAUGGCAAUCUCAAUCUUGUUCGGCAUCCAAUGGCUCCUAAUUCUUUUACAACGGCUCUGCUCGGGAUUUGUGUCGAUGACGUCCAUUGACAAAGUGGUUCCAAGAGGUAGAGAGGCUGGUGCGGGACGUUGUGGAGAGUGACGUCAAAUGGGGGUCUGUCCGGGCAUCACUGCUGCUGGAGCUGCAGCGCCGGUACACGGAGAUCAACGGGAAGAGGGCCAUCAACGAGACCCGCAUGAGCCUCAUGGAGGAGGACCCAUAUGUACUAACAUACACAAGAUGACAGAGAAGUUCUCCGCUCUUCAGCUCAAAGUGAAGGAGGUGGAUGCAUUGCAGAAUCACUCCUCCAACAGGUGAACUAAUUAAUUUGCAUUGUCUUCUUUUUGAACUUAUUUCUGAAAGCAGUUUCUGAACUCUGAAAUUGUGUGACUAAUGCUGAAGUGAUCUGUUGUGUUAACUCCUUUUGAAUCUCUUGAUUCUUUUGAUUCUCUUAAAUCAUUGCAAUCUCUUGACCCGAGGGCUGCCGAUGAGUCUCCGCGGCGGAUAUCCCCCAAAAAAGAUAAAGAAACAGAUCCCCAUGGAGAUUCCCUCACUGCACGGAAGUUUUCUUGGACGGCGACCUCACUACCCAGCCGGUAGCAGCGUCGCCUUCCUGGUAGGCACCCGGCGGAUGGGUUCCUGGUGGACCGUCCCGUGCAGUCCGAUGACUGCGUGGCCGCGCUCAUCCAGACGGAGAUGGAGCACAUGCCCGUGGACGGGUACCCCCAGAUGCUGCGGCGGCUCGGGGCCUUGUAUUUGGCCGCCAUCACGAGGGACACCAUAGAUAGGACCUGGAAGGUUCCUCUCGGUAGCAACUGAAGCAACCCUGCUAAAAUCCCAUAAAGUACUUGUUGGAAUCAUGGAGAAAUUGGUUUCUCAUGGCUUGCUUGUGUGACAUAGCUCUUGGCAGUGACUUGCUUCUGUCUCGCUCGUGGACCAGCAGGUCAGUGACUGAUGCAUCUCAUCUCAUGAAAGACCUCCUCAUACACCGUUGAGGGGUUCUGUCUUCUCAGUUUUGUCUCAAUUAAUCGACGGUUUUUGCUUGACACACGAUUGAGGCAAAGUCUGUGUUUGAGGCAAGGACAAUAAAAAUGAUGGAGCUUUUGGUGCUCAGCACCUUGAAAUGGAGGAUGCAAGUUGUUACUGCUUGCUCGUUUAUUGGCUACUUCCUUUGCAAAUUCAAUGAUCAUGACACACCCUCCAUGCUCGCAUUCUCCCACUCGAACCUCAACCCGAGCACAGCUAAGUGAGCUGAUUUUUUGGUGUUCAGACCUUCCGAGAUUGCUGGAAGUGUUGCACCUGCUUCAUUUGGGGAGCGCAGUACUUCAGUGGUCGAAAGGGGUACAACUAAUUGCAAGUAUAUAAACAAGGAGCGAGUGUUAAGAUGCUACGAUGGAGCCAUGGAGGUAACUCACUAAAUGAGCGGAUAAUGUUUUUCAAAUGAGAAUCAUGGAGCUCCGGUGGUUGAAAUACCAAACCCCAUCUUGUUUAGAGAAAUAAAUAAUUCGCACAUGUGGUAGAAUACUUACACGAAUUUGAGAAACUUUGGUCUUAAAAACUGAGGACAUAUGAGUGAGCAAGGAAGAAUACAAGUUUGUUCAAAGCAACAAAAUGUAUUGGUUACUUGACAGACCAUAUGAGUUUCUGUAGUUACCUAUUUUUGUCUAUCAAAUCGUAAGAUAAUGCAUCAUCUCAAUCUGAGAGGUGUAAAUGAUCAUGUCAUCUAAUAAUGGUAUCUAGGUUUGGCUUUAUUUGGUGACUGGAAUUUUCUAUUGCGAAAAGUUACUGGUGAUGGUACAUCAGAAUUACCAAACUGAACAGGUGGUACUAAAAAGUACUGGAAAAUCUCAAUGCCUAGAUGGUAUGAUGUGCCAUGUUCAUCACCGCCGGGAAUACUUUGAUAGGGCUAAAUUUUGCUCUAUAUAAUUUCCCAGGGGGCUGUUUGGAAGAGAGGGAUUGGGCUAGGAGUUAGUUUAAUUUGUAUGUUAGGACAAAGAUGAUUGAGUGAUGAAACUACAGUUGCUAAUUCAGUAUAGAGAUCCUACUUAAUGUACACAUCAACAUUCUUAUAGAGCAAUUUAAUACUGUAACUCUUAUCUUAUUCACCGUUAUUUCUGCUGAAGAUUGUUUGAAAUUAUUAGGCACUGGCCCUCUUCAAGUCCUACUUUAGUGCAACGGUGCAGAGACUAUGCACUUCGGUUAUCCUCAUAAUCCCAGUACCAUAAAUUUUGAAGUUAAAUAUAACCCAGGAAGGCGUACGGUCACCAUUUUCCUCCAAGGUCAGAGAUAUAUGAAAAAUGAAGUUGGUUGUAUUGGAUAUACAAAAAAUAAAUAUGUAUGUUCCUAUUUAUUUUCUAGGUAAGUGACCAAAUCAUAUUUCCUUUUAUCUGUACUAAUAGAAUUUAGAUAAGCCUGUGCUAAAUGCGACCCUUGUAAGUGCGAUCUUCGAAGUUACGGGCGUUGUUGGAUGGAGAAGAGCGGGUCUUGUGUUAGGCUUCAGCUGUAUCCGAGAAAAAGCGUAGCACCAACUUUUAUAAUGGUCCUAGGUUCCUAUCAGAGCAAUACCAUCAUCCUGCAUACAUUUUAAAAUGCAUUUAAGUUCUAUUACAUAUUGUACACGUACCAACAUGCUUUCCUCUGUUUUCAUUUCUUUGUUGUCCUUAAUGUCAUCUCUUUUUUUACUUUCAUUUAGCAAGUGAAGUAACAACAAUAACUAAUAGGUUCUCCUCGCAUGUUAGGUUUUCUUGGACAUUGUUGAGAGCGUAAACCUUCUUAUGUCUUCUAAAGGGAUUUUAUGUACCAUCAAAUUUUACUUGUCUGUUAUGAGGUUUCUCGUGUCUUCAUGUUCAGCUAUUUGAUAUUCAUUGUGUAUGUUUCUUAAAUUUCUGCAGGGAGAGUUCUAAUAUGUGACGUGACAGGAAAGAUCCUGAUGAAGUACUUCCUUUUUGGGAUGCCUAUCUGAAGUUGGGACUAAAUGACAAGAUUUAAUUGGCUUAGUAAAUAAAAAACUUGCUAAAGAAAAAUAAGAUUCAAAAUAGAUGUUUUUAUUAUAGAUUAGGAUUCGUGUGUUCUGCCACCGGGUUGACUUCUCAUAUCAGAAGGCAAGCCGUUAGUUCAUAUCAUGCUACUUUCCACUAUUGUAGUGAGAGAGAGAGAGGGAUUGAGAGGCUCCUACUUUUUGUAUUGUUGUCGAUGCUUGCACAAUGCUAUUGCUUAUUAUACUGGGGUAUUCAUCUUUGGAAUAAAAAACAAUCAUUUUCUCCCUUCAAUAUUUUAGUCAUGAC